UGAUGGGGCGGAAAGGGGCCAAGCGCAUCAUGGGCUUCCUGGGGCUGCAGCCCCCGGCGCAGUUCCUCAUUCUGCUCACACUCGGGCCUCAGUGGAGCUGGGCACCAGGGAGUUGGUGGCAGCGCUGAGGGGUCCUUCACUGCCCCGUCAUGGCGUCUACUCUCACCGUCCUCCUCCUCGGCUGCUGGGUGGCCGGGCGGAGCGGGAUGUCAGGAGAACUGAUUUCCACAGAACAUUGGAACAGGAACAGGAAGCUGCAAUGCAAAAAAGAACAACAAUUACUGCUAAACCCACAACAAAAUGGUGACCCUAAAAAGUCUGUUACUGCCUUGAAAUCAGCUCAGAGACAGAUUCUGGCUGAUGGAUUUUUACCAGUGGCCCCUUAGGCUGUUCCGUUUUGCCUUUAGAAAGGGUGGCUGGCAGGAUAUGGUCAAAUAUUCACCAAUACAGUGAAUACGUGCUACGUUAUUAAUUUUUAUUUUAAAUUAUACAAAAUACAAACAUAAAAUUUUACUACUACAUGGGGUGAUCCUCACGGGGGGAAAUGUCACCAUCUGGUGUCGGCAUCAGCGUCUGGGCGUGAGGAUCCUCCUUUACAAGGCUGGAGAUGGGAACUAUCUGACUUACACAGACCCUGCUGACUCUGAGGAUGAAUUUGCUGCCAUUGGUAUCACACUGGAAUAUUAUUAUAGCGACGGAUCAGGAGACAUUACCCGAUCGGAGCCCAGCGAUCCUGUAACAGGUGAGCGGCCCAGCCCGGGACCUUGGCUCCCAGCCCCACACCCAGCCAGGCCCCAGGGUUCUGUGUGAGUCCUGGCGCUGCCCAGCAGAUGGGACGUCCAGCCAGUGAAGGUUGAGUGUCUGUGUGGGGGGGAUCUCGGCCCCCUGGAGGUGGGUAUGUGAGGAGAUCUCAGGUGGUGCCUUGGUGCCCUGGAUCCUAGGGGAGACCCUGACCCUGUCUCUGCCCCGUCGCUGAUGCUCCACGCUGGGGACGGGGCGCAGUGGCCGUGCCGGGGUCUGUCU